UGUAAUUGAACUUCAAUUAAUUUGAGGGGAACCUAGAACUGAAUCUCUGUUACAAAUAUUUGAUUUAAUUCAGAUAGUAUGGCAUUGUUAAAAAUUUAGUGUUAUACUUGCUGAGCAUUGCUCACUCUUGCUAUUAUUUCUAACCCUUGCAGCUAAGGAUUAAGGUGGUCACCUGGGUAAGCUGCGCGUAAGAGUAAUGCUAGGCGAGACUGCUAGGGAGGUGGCUGCGAGACUAGUAUGGUUAGAGUUGAAUUAUUUCAAUUCAGUUGUAGAUGGUUUUUAUUUAUUGGUUAUCAGUUAUCCUUCUUACCGAAGUUUAGCUGAUAACGUAGUUUAAGUUGUAAAAAGAUUUUAUAGUUUGGGUUCUGGUUUCAAUGCUGUAACCUAUUUGCGAUCCUGUUGUUAGGGGGUCAAAGUGAUUUUGAUUUAAAUCUCUUUUAAAAAUCCAGAUUUUGAAAUAUAUGUUUUACCUUCUUCCGGAAAUACAGGUUUAAAUUGAUUUUUGUCCACGUGGCACCAGAUCCAGACCCCUGGAUCUGAGGGAUGUCACAGUUGGUAUCAGAGCUGUAGGUUAUAAGUUAUUGAAAUCAGAAUAUAGAUUGUAAUAGAAAUGUGUUUAAUGGAACCUCAUAUAGAGGCAAGUUGAGACUAUUGGAUAUAGUAUUUGUCUAUGGAACUGAGAUGGAGUUAGAAUAUUGAUUCUGAGUAAUCAUUUGGUAUAUCAUAGUUCCUAACUCUAGAACUAAUGAGUUGGAUAUCGGGAGAGACAUGAUAGCAUACCUUUAGUUUCCAAUCUUCUAGAGCUUGAGGCUGACUUUCUGAGUAAUCAGUGCCCGCUAGACUUGUGGAUUGACAUGUCUAACCUAGAAUGUUCCUUAUCAUCUCUACCAUUCCUAGAGGGUUGGAUAGAGGGUUAUCUAUUGUUUCUUAUAGAGACAUAUGGAUUUGGUAGAUGAGUAUGAGAUUGGUGAUGAGAAGUCAGGAGUGUAGUUCUCAAAUUGAGAAUUUAUGUAGAAUCCAUGUUAGAUUAUUUGAUAUAGUACCUAUUAGUAGGUUUGAGCGUCAACGCUCUACAAGGCUGAUUGUAUAAAGCUGGACAUGACUUCUGACAACACCAAGCUCGAUAGGACCUACUAACAUGGAUAUCGGUGACGGAAUCUAUAGAGACUAUUAUAAGUCAACGAUAAUAUAUGCAAGCGAUCACCAAGAGUGCUGAAAAGAAUUCUUGGAAUCAAGAUAAGCCAUCAGAGGAAUCAAGUAAGAAGACACUUGUGAGAAUCUUGGCAAUACCUUCUUCAAUUGACUGAUUAAAUUGAUUAUUUCUCUAUCAGUGAUUGUUUUAACAUCUCUUUCAGCGAGACGUUCAUUAAAGAGAAUAUUUCUCUUUAAGAGUAUAUUUUUCACUCUUGAAAUUAUAGAAUGAUGCCAGUGCUUGUGGUAUCAUUUCUGAUCACUUUUCUUUCGAAUUCAGCACAUUUGGAAUCUAUUCCCUAUUUGAACCCCAGGUGCGCAUGAAACUUUUCUCCAAUUAAAGGCAACCAUUGUUAAGUUAAUUAUGAACCCUUUUAUAUUUUUCUACUCUAACUGAGAUGAACAACUCUAAUUAUAGGGGACACAAUGACUCCCUGUCCUCAUUUAGAUACGCAACAUUCUAUCAGGAGGAAACGGUACUAAAGAAUAAAGAAAUAUUACGUUUUAGUCUUCUCUCNCUCUUGCUAUUAUUUCUAACCCUUGCAGCUAAGGAUUAAGGUGGUCACCUGGGUAAGCUGCGCGUAAGAGUAAUGCUAGGCGAGACUGCUAGGGAGGUGGCUGCGAGACUAGUAUGGUUAGAGUUGAAUUAUUUCAAUUCAGUUGUAGAUGGUUUUUAUUUAUUGGUUAUCAGUUAUCCUUCUUACCGAAGUUUAGCUGAUAACGUAGUUUAAGUUGUAAAAAGAUUUUAUAGUUUGGGUUCUGGUUUCAAUGCUGUAACCUAUUUGCGAUCCUGUUGUUAGGGGGUCAAAGUGAUUUUGAUUUAAAUCUCUUUUAAAAAUCCAGAUUUUGAAAUAUAUGUUUUACCUUCUUCCGGAAAUACAGGUUUAAAUUGAUUUUUGUCCACGUGGCACCAGAUCCAGACCCCUGGAUCUGAGGGAUGUCACAGUUGGUAUCAGAGCUGUAGGUUAUAAGUUAUUGAAAUCAGAAUAUAGAUUGUAAUAGAAAUGUGUUUAAUGGAACCUCAUAUAGAGGCAAGUUGAGACUAUUGGAUAUAGUAUUUGUCUAUGGAACUGAGAUGGAGUUAGAAUAUUGAUUCUGAGUAAUCAUUUGGUAUAUCAUAGUUCCUAACUCUAGAACUAAUGAGUUGGAUAUCGGGAGAGACAUGAUAGCAUACCUUUAGCUUCCAAUCUUCUAGAGCUUGAGGAUGACUUUCUGAGUAAUCAGUGUCCGCUAGACUUGUGGAUUGACAUGUCUAACCUAGAAUGUUCCUUAUCAUCUCUACCAUUCCUAGAGGGUUGGAUAGAGGG
rnacentral:lncRNA from 1 species